rnacentral:rRNA from 1 species
CCUCCACAAGAAGCCCCGGCUAACUACGUGCCAGCAGCCGCGGUAAUACGUAGGGGGCAAGCGUUGUCCGGAAUCAUUGGGCGUAAAGAGCGUGUAGGCGGUCCGGUAAGUCGGCUGUGAAAGUCCAGGGCUCAACUCUGGGAUGCCGGUCGAUACUGCCGGACUAGAGUUCGGAAGAGGCGAGUGGAAUUCCCGGUGUAGCGGUGAAAUGCGCAGAUAUCGGGAGGAACACCUAUGGCGAAGGCAGCUCGCUGGGACGUUACUGACGCUGAGACGCGAAAGCGUGGGGAACAAACAGGAUUAGAUACCCUGGUAGUCCACGCCGUAAACGAUGGGCACUAGGUGUGGGAGGUGUCGACUCCUCCCGUGCCGGAGCUAACGCAUUAAGUGCCCCGCCUGGGGA